GGAGCGGUGAGAGACGUCGAGAGGCACUUCCGCUGGCAAACCCAUGUGUGCACAGGUCGGCGUCGCGGACAUUCUGAUCUCAUAAUCCCUCGGUUGCGGGUUCGAGUCCCGCCCGCCCCACCA
rnacentral:tRNA from 1 species